rnacentral:rRNA from 1 species
UACGUAGGCAGCAAGCGUUGUUCGGAGUUACUGGGCGUAAAGAGUGUGUAGGCGGUCAGCUAAGUUCGGUGUGAAAUCUCCCGGCUCAACUGGGAGGGUGCGCCGAAGACUGGCAGGCUUGAGUGCGGGAGAGGAAAGCGGAAUUCCUGGUGUAGCGGUGAAAUGCGUAGAUAUCAGGAGGAACACCUGCGGUGUAGACGGCUUUCUGGACCGCAACUGACGCUGAGACACGAAAGCGUGGGUAGCAAACAGG